UGAGCAAAAGGAAUAAAAGCAAAAAAAGCCAGAGAUACACAGAGUAUCAUAACAAUGGCUACUAACCAAAAGCUUGUUGUAGUGUUUUUUAUGGUUAUGGUUGCUCUCUCCACUAUGCAAAAUGCUUAUGCUUACGCGGGUUCUGAGUUAUUCAAUUAUCUAAAGAAGGUUGAUGACGGCAUAAAACCUACCAAAGAGUAUAGCAUAAGUCCGAAUGAUAUCGACAUGUUUGGUGGUGAUAUUCAAUUUCAGACGAGGAAAUUAAAGGUUGUUGAGGAGUCUACUGCGUAAGAAAGCCAAGCAAAGUGGUGAACAAGGCAACCAGAACAAGGCAACCAGGCACUAGCAAGUAACUCCUAAGAUCAUUGGAGGUUUGUGUACUAGCAAGUAACUCCCAAGAUCAUUGGAGGUUUGUUGGUGGAAAAUUAACAAGUGGUGGAGAAUAAUUCAAAUUUAAAAUUUUGUACAAUAUAAUUGUUUUUUCACUACCAUAUGCAAUAUUUGUAGAGAGGUUAAUGAAAUUUGUUACUGUUUUUUGAUUUGUUAAUGUUACCACUUCCAUAGAA